CGUUGAAACACCAGUUCCCCGUAUGAUCACUGAACUUAAGCAACAUUGGGCUUGGCCAGUAGGUAGGUGGGUGACUGCUUGGAAAUAGCAGGUGGU